rnacentral:rRNA from 1 species
AUUGAACGCUGGCGGCAUGCCUUACACAUGCAAGUCGAACGGUAGAGUAGCAAUACUUGAGAGUGGCGAACGGGUGAGUAAUGCAUCGGAACAUGCCCAGUCGUGGGGGAUAACGUAGCGAAAGUUACGCUAAUACCGCAUACGAUCUAUGGAUGAAAGCGGGGGACUCGCAAGAGCCUCGCGCUAUUGGAAUGGCCGAUGUCAGAUUAGGUAGUUGGUGGGGUAAAAGCCCACCAAGCCAACGAUCUGUAGCUGGUCUGAGAGGACGACCAGCCACACUGGGACUGAGACACAGCCCAGACUCCUACGGGAGGCAGCAGUGGGGAAUUUUGGACAAUGGACAAAAGUCUGAUCCAGCAAUGCCGCGUGCAGGACGAAGGCCUUCGGGUUGUAAACUGCUUUUGUACAGAACGAAAAGGUUUCUACUAAUACUAGGAGCUCAUGACGGUACUGUAAGAAUAAGCACCGGCUAACUACGUGCCAGCCGCCGCCGUAA